rnacentral:rRNA from 1 species
AUUGAACGCUGGCGGCAGGCCUAACACAUGCAAGUCGAGCGGAGCGGCGGACGGGUGAGUAAUGCCUAGGAAUCUGCCUGGUAGUGGGGAUAACGUCCGGGAACGGGCCCUUAUAACGCCUACCAUCCGAUGAGGCUUGGUCGGAUUAGCUAUUGGGUGGGGUAAAGGCCUUCCAAGGCGACGAUCCGUAACUGGUCUGAGAGGAUGAUCAGUCACACUGGAACUGAGACACGGUCCAGACUCCUACGGGAGGCAGCAGUGGGGAAUAUUGGACAAUGGGCGAAAGCCUGAUCCAGCCAUGCCGCGUGUGUGAAGAAGGUCUUCGGAUUGUAAAGCACUUUAAGUUGGGAGGCGUUACCAACAGAAUAAGCACCGGCUAACUUCGUGCCAGCAGCCGCGGUAAUUC